rnacentral:misc_RNA from 3 species
AACGCACAUUGCGCCCCCUGGUAUUCCGGGGGGCAUGCCUGUUCGAGCGUCAUUACAACCCUCAAGCUCUGCUUGGUGUUGGGCUCCGCCGGUCCCGGCGGGCCUUAAAAUCAGUGGCGGUGCCAUUCGGCUUCAAGCGUAGUAAUUCUUCUCGCUUCGGAGGCCCGGGUGCGUGCUUGCCAGCAACCCCCAAUUUUUUUCAGGUUGACCUCGGAUCAGGUAGGGAUACCCGCUGAACUUAA